rnacentral:rRNA from 1 species
UACGGGGGGGGCAAGCGUUGUUCGGAAUUACUGGGCGUAAAGGGCUCGUAGGCGGCCAACUAAGUCAGACGUGAAAUCCCUCGGCUUAACCGGGGAACUGCGUCUGAUACUGGUUGGCUUGAAUCCGGGAGAGGGAUGUGGAAUUCCAGGUGUAGCGGUGAAAUGCGUAGAUAUCUGGAGGAACACCGGUGGCGAAGGCGGCAUCCUGGACCGGUAUUGACGCUGAGGCACGAAAGCGUGGGGAGCGAACGGG